rnacentral:siRNA from 1 species
CAAGUCUUUUGUGCCAUGUUU